rnacentral:rRNA from 1 species
GAUCAUGGCUCAGGAUGAACGCUAGCUACAGGCUUAACACAUGCAAGUCGAGGGGCAGCAUUCCAGUUUGCUUGCAAGCUGGAGAUGGGCGACCGGCGCACGGGUGAGUAACACGUAUCCAACCUGCCGAUAACUCGGGGAUAGCCUUUCGAAAGAAAGAUUAAUACCCGAUGGCAUAAUAGAACCGCAUGGUUUGAUUAUUAAAGAAUUUCGGUUAUCGAUGGGGAUGCGUUCCAUUAGG